GGGCAAGAGGACAUUAAGGUUUUUGUUUUUUGUUAUCCUUGCCGUGGGAAAAAAUAGAUUUUUUUUUUAAAUUGGAUUUGAAGUGCUCAGAAAGUUGAUUCAAA